rnacentral:rRNA from 1 species
UUGAACGCUGGCGGAAUGCUUUACACAUGCAAGUCGAACGGCAGCGGGGGCUUCGGCCUGCCGGCGAGUGGCGAACGGGUGAGUAAUGCAUCGGAACGUACCCAGUCGUGGGGGAUAACUAGGCGAAAGCGUAGCUAAUACCGCAUACGCCCUGAGGGGGAAAGCGGGGGACCUUCGGGCCUCGCGCGAUUGGAGCGGCUGAUGUCGGAUUAGCUAGUUGGUGGGGUAAAGGCCUACCAAGGCGACGAUCCGUAGCUGGUCUGAGAGGAUGAUCAGCCACACUGGGACUGAGACACGGCCCAGACUCCUACAGGAGGCAGCAGUGGGGAAUUUUGGACAAUGGGCGAAAGCCUGAUCCAGCCAUACCGCGUGAGUGAAGAAGGCCUUCGGGUUGUAAAGCUCUUUCAGCCGGAAAGAAAUUGCUUCUAUUAAUACUAGGAGUAGGUGACGGUACCGGAAGAAGAAGCACCGGCUAACUACGU